rnacentral:rRNA from 1 species
AGUGAACGCUGGCGGUAGGCCUAACACAUGCAAGUCGAACGGCAGCACAGUAAGAGCUUGCUCUUACGGGUGGCGAGUGGCGGACGGGUGAGGAAUACAUCGGAAUCUACUUUUUCGUGGGGGAUAACGUAGGGAAACUUACGCUAAUACCGCAUACGACCUACGGGUGAAAGCAGGGGAUCUUUGGACCUUGCGCGAGUGAAUGAGCCGAUGUCGGAUUAGCUAGUUGGCAGGGUAAAGGCCCACCAAGGCGACGAUCCGUAGCUGGUCUGAGAGGAUGAUCAGCCACACUGGAACUGAGACACGGUCCAGACUCCUACGGGAGGCAGCAGUGGGGAAUAUUGGACAAUGGGCGCAAGCCUGAUCCAGCCAUACCGCGUGGGUGAAGAAGGCCUUCGGGUUGUAAAGCCCUUUUGUUGGGAAAGAAAAGCAGCAGGUUAAUACCCCGCUGUUCUGACGGUACCCAAAGAAUAAGCACCGGCUAACUUCGUG